GGUCCGCUGGUGUAAUUGGUAACACGCCUCCAUGUUGAUAUGGCACAUAUGCUGGCUCUCAGGAUACCGCCGGUUCGAAUCCGGUGCGGACCA